rnacentral:snRNA from 1 species
AGAUGAUCUGGCCAGCUAGGUGAAUGUCCCCUUCCUCCCUCAUCACUCCAUCUGUGUCCCUUUUGAAGUUGCAUGUUCAGUGGAAGANGACGGCCAUCCCAGAUAGAAAGAAUGCCCUAUUCUUCAAAAGNAUACAAGCAUCUGAUAGAACCUCCAAACAAACUCCAUGUUCCAUUUGUGGGAGAUAUAGGAAAAUAAUUGUAUAAUCUAUGCAUGUUUUUUGCCUUUCGU